AUUGAACGCUGGCGGCAGGCUUAACACAUGCAAGUCGAGCGGGGAAAGGUAGCUUGCUACCUGACCUAGCGGCGGACGGGUGAGUAAUGCUUAGGAAUCUGCCUAUUAGUGGGGGACAACGUUCCGAAAGGAACGCUAAUACCGCAUACGUCCUACGGGGGAAAGCAGGGGAUCUUCGGACCUUGCGCUAAUAGAUGAGCCUAAGUCGGAUUGGCUAGUUGGUGGGGUAAAGGCCUACCAAGGCGACGAUCUGUAGCGGGUCUGAGAGGAUGAUCCGCCACACUGGGACUGAGACACGGCCCAGACUCCUACGGGAGGCAGCAGUGGGGAAUAUUGGACAAUGGGCGCAAGCCUGAUCCAGCCAUGCCGCGUGUGUGAAGAAGGCCUUUUGGUUGUAAAGCACUUUAAGCGAGGAGGAGGCUCCUUUAGUUAAUACCUAAAGUGAGUGGACGUUACUCGCAGAAUAAGCACCGGCUAACUCUGUGCCAGCAGCCGCCGUAA
rnacentral:rRNA from 1 species